UCCCUUGCGCCGCCUCGCGGAAGCCCUAUAUUGAGAGCUGUCGGGGCGUUCCCGACUAUGACGCUAAACCCUUUGUGGCAUAGGCGUUGCGGACCCGGGGGCAGUGCCCGGCGCCUCCACCAAAUUUCCACCGCCGCGUGGCGGUUUUUGGGGGCGAAACAGGAUCGACGCGCGUAGUAAAGACAAAGGUUGUGUUCGGUGAGGUACCACCGUUAUCGGUCCAAACGCGAAUAGUUGCCAACGACAACUUCGCUGAGGUUCGUGCUGCUGCGUAAGCGGUUGUACGGUCCAAUGUUAAAGCCCUGACGGUCUAAGCCCCGUCAGGCGGGGUUCGGGGGGCACCUGGCAACAGAAGCCCUCCACU
rnacentral:tmRNA from 1 species